rnacentral:rRNA from 1 species
GGUUGAUCGCGUCGGAAGUGUAAUCUUGGGGCUUAACCCUGAGCGUGCUUUCGAUACGGGUUGACUUGAGGAAGGUAGGGGAGAAUGGAAUUCCUGGUGGAGCGGUGGAAUGCGCAGAUAUCAGGAGGAACACCAGUGGCGAAGGCGGUUCUCUGGGCCUUUCCUGACGCUGAGGAGCGAAAGCGUGGGGAGCGAACAGGCUUAGAUACCCUGGUAGUCCACGCUGUAAACGGUGGGUACUAGGUGUGGGGUCCAUUCCACGGGUUCCGCGCCGUAGCUAACGCUUUAAGUACCCCGCCUGGGGAGUACGGCCGCAAGGCUAAAACUCAAAGGAAUUGACGGGGCCCCGCACAAGCGGCGGAGCAUGCGGAUUAAUUCGAUGCAACGCGUAGAACCUUACCUGGGUUUGACAUGGAUCGGGAGUGCUCAGAGAUGGGUGUGCCUCUUUUGGGGUCGGUUCACAGGUGGUGCAUGGCUGUCGUCAGCUCGUGUCGUGAGAUGUUGGGUUAAGUCCCGCAACGAGCGCAACCCUUGUUCACUGUUGCCAGCACGUUAUGGUGGGGACUCAGUGGAGACCGCCGGGGUCAACUCGGAGGAAGGUGGGGAUGACGUCAAGUCAUCAUGCCCCUUAUGUCCAGGGCUUCACGCAUGCUACAAUGGCUGGUACAGAGAGUGGCGAGCCUGUGAGGGUGAGCGAAUCUCGGAAAGCCGGUCUCAGUUCGGAUUGGGGUCUGCAACUCGACCUCAUGAAGUCGGAGUC